UACGUAGGGGGCGAGCGUUGUCCGGAGUUACUGGGCGUAAAGGGCAUGCAGGCGGUCCGACACGUUUUGUGUGACAGCGGGUGGCUUAACUACCCGAGGAUACGAAAGACGGUAGGACUUGAGGACUCGAGAGGGACACGGAAUUCCGGGUGGAGUGGUGAAAUGCGUAGAGAUCCGGGAGGAACACCGAAGGCGAAGGCAGUGUCCUGGCGAGUGACUGACGCUGAGGUGCGAAAGCCAGGGGAGCGAACGGG
rnacentral:rRNA from 1 species